CGUACGCAGACCCUUCACUUUUCUUUCCGAUCUCGUAAGGACUCCUCUUCGCGAGAGCGUCCCGAUUCCCACCGCACCGCGCUUGUUCAACGUAACAUAGUUUUCAAUCUCAACCUCGAAGCUCGUUUCUGUGUUCUAAUCACCACGGGUACGGGGUGGAGGGUGGGCAGCAAGCGGUAUUUUCUCGGCGCGCACGCCUCGCGACACAAAGACUUCACCGUGCACCCACGGACUGUCGCUUCGUUCUCCAGCGGACACAACAGGACCUCCAUCACAGUGAAAGAGAACACAAAAAGUAAGCCACAGCUAGGAACAGCGAGCUUCUCACGCGAAGUUCUGCUUUCUGAGGAACGUGAAGGCCGUCGUCGUCGUCGUUUCUCUAUCUUGUGUGCUCUCGUUUUUUUUUGACAUUGACGCGGCGGCUGCACUUGAUUUCACUUUCAGCAUGGCCAUCUGUGCUGCGAGCACCUUUACGGACUUCCUGUCUGACUGCGCUGAUGUCGUCUGCGCUGAUCAUUUUCUUGUGCGCCAUUUUUUAUCUACGAUUGCUCCAGGCGGUGGCAAGGCUGGUAAACCACGUCCGCUCUUCUCGCACGUUUUUGCGGGAGGCGAUACCGCUUCGCCGCUUACCUGUGGUGCGGUGAACCUGACUCCGUGGGUUUUCUCAGCAUCGACGUUGGCGAGCGAGACCGUUCUGAUCGCGGAUGGAUUUCGUCUGCACGAAAGUGCGCCGCGUGCCCCUGCUUCUAACUCAUCUACGCCGACUUCUCGGAUGGCUCCGAAGUAUCAGUGGCGACUCACAACACUUAUUGCUCUUGUGGCGGCCAUAUUUGUGGCUCUGUGCAUUGAUGCCGCCCUGCUGUGCAGGGCUUUGCCAAAGUGGCGUCACCUACGACAGCAGGCGCGUGAAACCGCGUGCCGCGAGCAGCCGCAUGCGCCAGAGUGACAGAAGCAACUUUUCUGCUCCUCUCCGCACUGAGCCGUCUCCUCAGUAGCGGUCGCAACGACUUUCCAAUGUGCCGCGCACAAAAGCAUCUAUUCAUUCUCCCCUUCGCUUUCUCCCAUGUUUAUCUUUUUGUUCAUUUCACGUCUGCCACCUCUCUUCAUCGCAUCUCCGCUACUGCGUCUGCCUUUUCUGCUGUGG
rnacentral:misc_RNA from 1 species